rnacentral:rRNA from 1 species
GACGAACGCUGGCGGCGUGCUUAACACAUGCAAGUCGAACGAUGAAGCUGGAGCUUGCUCCGGUGGAUUAGUGGUGAACGGGUGAGUAACACGUGAGCAAUCUGCCCUUGACUCUGGGAUAACUGCGGGAAACUGUAGCUAAUACCGGAUACUUUCACUGGAAGGCAUCUUCUGGUGAAGAAAGAAUUUCGGUCAAGGAUGAGCUCGCGGCCUAUCAGCUUGUUGGUGAGGUAACGGCUCACCAAGGCGACGACGGGUAGCCGGCCUGAGAGGGUGAACGGCCACACUGGGACUGAGACACGGCCCAGACUCCUACGGGAGGCAGCAGUGGGGAAUAUUGCACAAUGGGCGCAAGCCUGAUGCAGCAACGCCGCGUGAGGGAUGAAGGCCUUAGGGUUGUAAACCUCUUUUAGCAGGGAAGAAGCGAAAGUGACGGUACCUGCAGAAAAAGCACCGGCUAACUACGUGCCAGCCGCCGCGGUAA